CAAGUCGAACGCGAAAGUGGAGCAAUCCAUGAGUAGAGUGGCAAACGGGUGAGUAACACGUGGGUGACCUGCCUUCGAGCGGGGGAUAACGUCCCGAAAGGGACGCUAAUACCGCAUGACAUCCUGUCUUUUAACAGAUGGAGAUCAAAGCCGGGGAUCGCAAGACCUGGCACUCGAAGAGGGGCCCGCGCCUGAUUAGCUAGUUGGUGAGGUAAUGGCUCACCAAGGCAACGAUCAGUAUCCGGCCUGAGAGGGCGGACGGACACACUGGGACUGAGACACGGCCCAGACUCCUACGGGAGGCAGCAGUGGGGAAUUGUUCGCAAUGGGCGCAAGCCUGACGACGCAACGCCGCGUGGAGGAUGAAGAUCUUCGGGUCGUAAACUCCUUUCGAUCGAGACGAAUGGCCUUCGGGUGAACAAUCCGGAGGAAUGACGGUACCGAGAGAAGAAGCCCCGGCUAACUCCGUGCCAGCAGCCGCGGUAAUACGGGGGGGGCAAGCGUUGUUCGGAAUUACUGGGCGUAAAGGGCUCGUAGGCGGCCAACUAAGUCAGACGUGAAAUCCCUCGGCUUAACCGGGGAACUGCGUCUGAUACUGGAUGGCUUGAGUUUGGGAGAGGGAUGCGGAAUUCCAGGUGUAGCGGUGAAAUGCGUAGAUAUCUGGAGGAACACCGGUGGCGAAGGCGGCAUCCUGGACCAACACUGACGCUGAGGAGCGAAAGCCAGGGGAGCAAACGGGAUUAGAUACCCCGGUAGUCCUGGCCCUAAACGAUGAAUGCUUGGUGUGGCGGGUAUCGAUCCCUGCCGUGCC
rnacentral:rRNA from 1 species